rnacentral:rRNA from 1 species
AUUGAACGCUGGCGGCAUGCUUUACACAUGCCAGUCAAACGGUAACAGGCCGCAAGGUGCUGACGAGUGGCGGACGGGUGAGUAAUGCAUCGGAACGUGCCCAGUCGUGGGGGAUAACUACUCGAAAGAGUAGCUAAUACCGCAUACGAUCUAUGGAUGAAAGCGGGGGACCGUAAGGCCUCGCGCGAUUGGAGCGGCCGAUGUCAGAUUAGGUAGUUGGUGGGGUAAAGGCUCACCAAGCCAACGAUCUGUAGCUGGUCUGAGAGGACGACCAGCCACACUGGGACUGAGACACGGCCCAGACUCCUACGGGAGGCAGCAGUGGGGAAUUUUGGACAAUGGGCGCAAGCCUGAUCCAGCAAUGCCGCGUGCAGGAAGAAGGCCUUCGGGUUGUAAACUGCUUUUGUACGGAACGAAACGGCUCUGGUUAAUACCCGGGGCUAAUGACGGCACCGUAAGAAUAAGCACCGGCUAACUACGUGC